ACCUGCCUUACACUCCUGGACAGCCUUCUGAAAGGGAGAUUAAUACAAGAUGUUAUCAUGAGUAAGCAUUUUCACAUGAUUAAAGGUUUACCGGUGUAAGAUGGGGAUGCGUUCCAUUAGAUAGUAGGCGGGGUAACGGCCCACCUAGUCUUCGAUGGAUAGGGGUUCUGAGAGGAAGGUCCCCCACAUUGGAACUGAGACACGGUCCAAACUCCUACGGGAGGCAGCAGUGAGGAAUAUUGGUCAAUGGACGAGAGUCUGAACCAGCCAAGUAGCGUGAAGGAUGAAGGUUCUAUGGAUUGUAAACUUCUUUUAUACGGGAAUAAACGAAUCCACGUGUGGAUUUUUGCAUGUACCGUAUGA
rnacentral:rRNA from 1 species